rnacentral:rRNA from 1 species
UACGUAGGGUGCGAGCGUUGUCCGGAAUUAUUGGGCGUAAAGAGCUUGUAGGCGGUUUGUCGCGUCUGCUGUGAAAAUCCGGGGCUCAACCCCGGGCCUGCAGUCGAUACGGGCAGACUAGAGUGCGGUAGGGGAGACUGGAAUUCCUGGUGUAGCGGUGGAAUGCGCAGAGUAUCAGGAGGAACACCGAUGGCGAAGGCGGGUCUCUAGGCCGAUACUGACGUGAGGAGCGGAAAGCGUGGGGAGCGAACAGG